rnacentral:lncRNA from 1 species
CUCAGUGACCCUUGGCAGGGCUGAAGUCACUGAGCUUUGUGCUGUCAAGUGUAGAAAACCAGAAUGAAGUGUCUGGAAAAUGGUUAUAGUAGGCAAAUUUUGUGCAUUUAUAAAAAUGCAACCAUUGUUUAGUGACAUAAAAUUAUUAAUGUGAUAGGCUUCUCUCAAGGUCCUCAUUUGUCAGUCCUACAAAGUCCCAUUGGACAAAGUAUUAGUGUUAGUUUAAUCUUCAUUUUCUCUGCAUGAAAUAUCAGUUGUUUUUCUCUCUGUACAUCCUAUCACAGGAUAAUCCAGCACAGUGGUGAAAGGAACCAUGGGUUAAAUCCCAUUAUGGUGGGAAGAGAGAACAUUCUGAAGACAAACUUUCCAGGUCUGAGACCCAGCUCUGCCACUUCCUGGCUGUGUCAAUUUGGCUGGACCAGAAAAAUUAUUUGUACAGAAGAGGUUCAACGGAAUAAUCUUAACCAUAGUAAAUGCAACAGUAUCUCCGGGAUGUCAGCUGAUGGCCAGGUCAGUAGGAGCCAGGACCAAGUCCAGCUGGAUUAAUGAAUGGAUGCUGAAGACCCAGAACAGAGGAGAUAACUGUACCUGAAGCUAAUCACCAACACAGUGAGUUGCUUACUCAAUUUAAAGAGUCUCGCUGGGAAAGGAGCAUUGUUUCCCAUUCUUG